rnacentral:rRNA from 1 species
UACAGAGGUCUCAAGCGUUGUUCGGAAUCACUGGGCUUAAAGGGCGCGUAGGCGGGCUGUCAAGUCUGGGGUGAAAUGCCGCGGCUCAACCGUGGAACUGCCUUAGAUACUGACGGCCUCGAGGAAGGUAGGGGCAUGCGGAACUGUAGGUGGAGCGGUGAAAUGCGUUGAUAUCUACAGGAACUCCGGUGGCGAAAGCGGCGUGCUGGACCUUUUCUGACGCUGAGGCGCGAAAGCUAGGGGAGCAAACGGG